UCAUCCUUUAUAACCUUUAUUGGUUAAGACCAUUUUUUAGUCCGUUGGGUAUAAAGAUGUUUCACCACAAAUGAUUGAAUUUGAGCUUGGUCAUUAAGCAAAGAUUUUCUUAGCCAAGAUGAUUUAUAGUUGCCACUUCGGAACUAAGCAUCCCACAUUCCACAGCCAACAAGUAUCAACGGCAAAAGAGGAGGGAAGGGGCCCAUGAAUUCAUAUAGAGCUGAUCUGCAGCCGCUGUGCGAAUUACACUACCUCAGUACCAAGGUACAUAAAUGGACAGAAUGAUUUGCAUUGCAUGCACCGAGGCCGUGACGCAGAAUCAAGCUAGGUCUACUACCCAAUUGGAUGACCGUUCCAAAGCACUCUACAAGAUAACCAAGCCAUGUCAUAAGGCCAGAACUUGAGACUUGAGGUCGAUUCCGUUGAAUAUGAAUGUUCCAUUCAGUGGCACAAACUGCUUGGUCACCAGCU
rnacentral:lncRNA from 1 species